rnacentral:rRNA from 1 species
CCUACGGGUGGCAGCAGUGGGGAAUAUUGGACAAUGGGCGAAAGCCUGAUCCAGCCAUGCCGCGUGUGUGAAGAAGGCCUUCGGGUUGUAAAGCACUUUCAGUGGGGAAGAAAGCCUUGGGGCUAAUACCCUCGAGGAAGGACAUCACCCACAGAAGAAGCACCGGCUAACUCCGUGCCAGCAGCCGCGGUAAUACGGAGGGUGCGAGCGUUAAUCGGAAUUACUGGGCGUAAAGCGCGCGUAGGCGGUCUGAUAAGCCGGUUGUGAAAGCCCCGGGCUCAACCUGGGAACGGCAUCCGGAACUGUCAGGCUAGAGUGCAGGAGAGGAAGGUAGAAUUCCCGGUGUAGCGGUGAAAUGCAUAGAGAUCGGGAGGAAUACCAGUGGCGAAGGCGGCCUUCUGGACUGACACUGACGCUGAGGUGCGAAAGCGUGGGUAGCAAACAGGAUUAGAUACCCUGGUAGUC